UCCACCCCUUCCCCCUCCCUCCAUUCCUCUCCCUCUCUCCAUUCCUCCACCUAACCUACUCCUCCCAAUUUCAACCCACCGCAGCCCCCCUUCUUACCACCACUUAUAAUGGCACACAGGGCCCCUCUGAGGUGGACGGCCCGAUGCACAGGUAAUUUCUGACCUCGUGACGUUUGGCAGCGAGCGGAUCCGGAGCAAAAGCAUUCAGGUAUUUCCAGAGGACGUGUGGCGAGCGAGGUCGACCCUCGCCCGAGCCAACUCUUCUGUAAUCUUUUCCUAACAGCAGGUUUGUCCUAAGGCACGCAGGAGAGAAAGUAACGUUCAAGAAGAAAGCUGGGUCGGCAAGUUUGGCUCCCGAGCGUGUGAAGUAUGAAUCACCACGGUGCAAAGGAAAGAAGAACUAGAAUCCAUUUCAAGCUAAAGAGAAAAUUCAACCUGGACUAUCUUUCUCUUUCAAGAAAAUUAACAAAGUACCAAUGGAGCCCUUUAUCUAUUGAGUGCAGACUUCAUUAAUUAAUCCUUUUUAUCUGUGACAGUUAAAGGUAAAUCUUGAAUAUUCUGCUUCCUUGAAAUGAUUUCUAGUUUUACCCUUACUUGCUAAACUACAUUCUUUUAACCAUACGUUAUCUUUUGUCAACCAUGUAUAAAUCAAAUCAAAUUGUAUUG